rnacentral:rRNA from 1 species
UACGUAGGGUCCGAGCGUUGUCCGGAAUUAUUGGGCGUAAAGAGCUCGUAGGCGGUUUGUCGCGUCUGCUGUGAAAUCCCGAGGCUCAACCUCGGGUCUGCAGUGGGUACGGGCAGACUGGAGUGCGGUAGGGGAGAAUGGAAUUCCUGGUGUAGCGGUGGAAUGCGCAGAUAUCAGGAGGAACACCAGCGGCGAAGGCGGCGCUCUGGGCCGGAACUGACGCUGAGGAGCGAAAGCAUGGGUAGCGAACAGG